GUCUACGGCCACACCACCCUAAACGCGCCCGAUCUCCUCUGAUCUCGGAAGCUGAGCAGGCUCAGGCCUGGUUAGGACUUUGGGAGGAGGCAGGCAAAGCACGAAGCAGGUGGUCAGAGAUG
rnacentral:rRNA from 1 species